rnacentral:lncRNA from 9 species
CUUCUCCAGGAACUUUAUUGGAGGGCUCUGGCUUAGAUCCUUGGUUUUCAGUGCAUCAUCCAGUGAACUGGGAUAAAUAACAUCUGGCCUAAAAAUAGGUGAUGAAAAGUGUGAGUCACACGACAAUCUGGGAUCCUUGUCAUUUCCUUCCUUUUCCUAUAAUUUCUACAAGUCAGGAAUCAAACCCACACCAUAGCAGCAACCCAAGCUGCAGCAGUGACGCUGCAUCCUUAACCAGGUGAAAUACUUCCUGUCUCAGUGAAAUCCAGCUCCCAAAUGAAUUUCUGUUGGUUUAGAGAGCAACUUGAAGGUUCUGCACUUGGCACCAUUCAGUUUCCUUGGCAUCUCUCCAUAGUCACCAUUUAGAAAGCUCCUGGUCGGCAGGAUUUCAAACCAUCGUUCUCUCUGUGGAGAUUAAAAAAAGGAU